GGUUUUAUAUUCAAUAAUGAUAUUAAAUUGCAAAUUUAAAGGUGUUUUUAAACUAAAGCUU
rnacentral:tRNA from 1 species